CGGGAGGCAGCAGUAGGGAAUCUUCCGCAAUGGACGAAAGUCUGACGGAGCAACGCCGCGUGAGUGAUGAAGGCUUUCGGGUCGUAAAACUCUGUUGUUAGGGAAGAACAAGUGCUAGUUGAAUAAGCUGGCACCUUGACGGUACCUAACCAGAAAGCCACGGCUAACUACGUGCCAGCAGCCGCGGUAAUACGUAGGUGGCAAGCGUUAUCCGGAAUUAUUGGGCGUAAAGCGCGCGCAGGUGGUUUCUUAAGUCUGAUGUGAAAGCCCACGGCUCAACCGUGGAGGGUCAUUGGAAACUGGGAGACUUGAGUGCAGAAGAGGAAAGUGGAAUUCCAUGUGUAGCGGUGAAAUGCGUAGAGAUAUGGAGGAACACCAGUGGCGAAGGCGACUUUCUGGUCUGUAACUGACACUGAGGCGCGAAAGCGUGGGGAGCAAACAGGAUUAGAUACCCUGGUAGUCCACGCCGUAAACGAUGAGUGCUAAGUGUUAGAGGGUUUCCGCCCUUUAGUGCUGAAGUUAACGCAUUAAGCACUCCGCCUGGGGAG
rnacentral:rRNA from 3 species